CAGAUGGCACAGCUAUAACUAUAGCUGAAGCUGUGAAGGAGGUCAUCAUAAGAAAAGAAAUACCUCAGGACCGCAUCUUUGGCCUUGGCACAGAUGGAGCCGCAGUGAUGACCGGAAGAAGGAACGGCACAGCAAAAUUGCUGACUGACUCCUGGCCAGGAUUAGUGUCAGUGCACUGUGCUGCUCAUCGCCUUGCACUAGCAUGUAAAGAUGCAGCAGAUGGAGUGCCAUAUAUGAAAAUAUUCAGAAAGCACCUACAAGACCUGCACCUUUAUUUUAGGAAUAGUGCAAACCGCACCAGCGCUCUAAAAGCAGCUGCAAGUGUGCUUGGAGUAGAAGACCUGAAAGUCACAGAGGUUAAGGACACUAGGUGGCUAUCACAAGAGAAGGCCAUUUCAAAUCUUCAAAGAAAUCUACCUGCAGUGCUUGCUACACUAGCUGAGGAGGCAGAAUUAAAAAAGGACCCUGUGGCACGGG